rnacentral:misc_RNA from 1 species
GAGCAAUAAUUUAAUUCGAAAACGCAUUAGCUUAAACUUCCUAUAUAUAAAUGGCCUUAUAAUAAUUUUCAAUCAUGACACUGCCGCGAAUAACAGACUAUGACAUACAAGAGAAGCUUGGAGUGGGCAGCUAUGCGUCUGUUUACAAGGCGCGCCAUAAAAAACAAGGCACUUAUCACGCCAUUAAGUAUGUGGAAAUGUCCACGUUGUCCCAAAGCUCUCGCGACAAUCUAAUAACGGAAAUUCGUCUGCUGCGCGACCUCAAACAUAAAUAUAUUGUGACGCUGCAGGACUUCUUCUGGGAUGACAAGAACAUAUACAUUGUACUGGAGUAUUGUAAUGCGGGCAAUCUGUCCGCCUUCAUCCGCACAAAGAAGGCGCUGCCGGAGUCCACAUGUCGCUAUUUCUUACGGCAGCUGGCCGCGGCGAUUCAAUAUAUGCGAGCCAACGAUGUCUCGCACUUUGACCUGAAGCCACAGAACUUGUUGCUGACGCGCACCGCUAAUAAUGUCUACUUGAAGGUUGCGGACUUUGGGUUUGCGCAACACCUUAAGCUGGGCGAGAUCAAUCAGCAGCUGAAGGGCUCGCCGCUGUACAUGGCGCCAGAGAUUGUGCGCAAGCAUCAGUACGACGCCAAGGCGGAUCUGUGGAGCGUGGGCGUCAUUCUCUAUGAAUGCCUGUUUGGGAAGGCGCCGUACAGCUCGCGCACCAUUGAGGAGCUGCUGCUGCGCAUCCGGAAGGCGGAGCCCAUUGUGCUGCCACCGAAUGCGCGCAUCAGUAACGAAUGCCACGAUUUGCUGCGGCGCCUGCUGGCGCACGAGCCGGCGCAACGUAUUUCGUUUGCGGAUUUCUUUGCGCAUCCCUUUCUAGAUCUCAAGACUUUUCCCUCGGAGAAAACGAUGAAGAAGGCCAUAGACCUGGUUACCCAGGCGGUCGAGCACGAUGAAAAGCGCAACUACAAGGAGGCCUAUUAUCUGUAUUGCAGCGCAUUGCAAUACUUUGUGCCGCUGAUCACCGAGGAAUCGGACGCCAGCCGGCGCCAAGAGCUACGCCAUCGAGCGCUCACCUAUAUGAAGCGCGCGGAGGAGAUUAAAAACGUUAUCAUCGAGGACGAGUACAAAUUGUUGGCCCAGCGUCAGCAGAAGGCAUUGGAGAAAGGCGCCGCUGCCACAGCCCCCGAGGCUGCCAAUCCACAGACACAGCCAAGCACAUCCCGCAUGAUGGAAAUGCUUGAGCCGGAUGCACGCUAUAAGCAGCUUUUUGCCCUAUCGAACUCGAGCCCCUCGCUGAAGGCUGGCUUGGAAAUCGGACGGCAGGGCGAGCUGUACUUGUACGAGCGCAAGCUGGACGCCGCCUUGGAGUCGUAUACCUCUGCCCUGGGCAUUUUGGUGCCGUUUGUGAACAAUGAGCCGAAGGGCGAGCGACGCAACCUGCUGCUGCAACAGUUGGAGUUCUGGAUCAAGGAGGCUGAGAGCAUCAAGAGUAUACUGAGCGCCAAGCACCUGGAUGACGAGGAACAGAAGAUGUCAACGUCUCACAUUCCAGCAACUGUGCCACACUUUCUGUCGGAUAUCAGGCCACACGUUUAUUUAUUCUUAUGCAUUGUGAUUAAUUUAAUUAAAAUGGUUUAGUCAAGCAUCAAUUCAAAUUAAAGCAGAUCUAUGUGAAUCCGCAUUUCUUUAUUUGCUGUAUCUAUGUGUGGCAAUGGUCUCCCGAGGCAGCAGUGAAUUCCUCUUUGUGAUGGUUUGCAGUGUGGCAGUAACGGAUGGAAAUAUCUAUGGAAGACCUCAGAAGUCAUGGAUGUUCUU